rnacentral:rRNA from 1 species
CCUACGGGAGGCAGCAGUAGGGAAUAUUGCUCAAUGGGGGAAACCCUGAAGCAGCAACGCCGCGUGGAGGAUGAAGGUUUUCGGGUUGUAAACUCCUUUUGUUAGGGAAGAUAAUGACGGUAUCUAACGAAUAAGCACCAGCUAACACCGUGCCAGAAGCCGCGGUAAUACGGAGGGUGCGAGCGUUACUCGGAAUCACUGGGCGUAAAGAGCGCGUAGGCGGGUUAGCAAGUCAGAUGUGAAAUCCUAGGGCUUAACCCUAGAACUGCAUUUGAAACUAUUAUUCUAGAGUAUGGGAGAGGUAGGUGGAAUUCUUGGUGUAGCGGUAAAAUCCGUAGAGAUCAAGAGGAAUACUCAUGGCGAAGGCGACCUGCUAGAACAUAACUGACGCUGAUGCGCGAAAGCGUGGGGAGCAAACAGGAUUAGAUACCCUUGUAGUC